GGAACAAAGUUUCAGUUGUGGCCUGGUUAGGGAGCACCAAAAUGGAUUGUUUUCCAUUGCCGGGUGUUCCAAGAGCCCCAGAGGAGAGCUCAGGGGGCCAAGGAAUGGAGAGCGGGGACUGUGCAGGAGCUUCAUUGGUAUCAGUCCAGCUGCCCUUUUUUCCUUAUAUGUACUCCCCUAGAAUGUUCUCCCCUCUCCUGUCCCCCAUUGGUCCUGGUUUACCGCAAUGCUCUGCCCCUGUUACCUCAUUGGUUCCCCAGUUGGCUGCCCCUCCUCUGCACCACCUGUGCUCAGUUCCCAUUGGCCCUUGGCCCUCAGACCCGCCCCUUUCCCCCCUUACCAAACCCUGUGUGCUCAGCCCCAUUUUGUCUCUGUCCCUGGACCCUCUACAUUGCAAUAAACUGCGUUUGGAGCUCUGCACAAAGAGCCGUCUCUGGCCUUGUCCAUCAGCAGGUUAAGCAAGCGUGCUCCGGGCUCUAGGAGUGCAGGAUUUCUCAUUCCCAAACCUUGGGUGGAUGGAGGCUGCCAGGAAGAGGAAGAUGCCCCAGGACACCCCGUCAGAGACCAGGGAGGACAAAUCUCUGCGGCAGAACCUUGUGGAAGAGGCCAUUUUGAGCAACGCCACAGGGCAGGAAUCCAACGGGGAGGAAAAGCCACUGAGAUCCCCCAGGAGGAGGGCCUGCAAACCCAACCCAGGGUGCUGUGAGGAGGAAAGACCCACCCUGAGGCAGGAAGGUGGACAGAGCUUCAGCCAGGGAUCAAAGCUGGUGGCCCAUGGGCAGCUUCAUGGUGGGGAGAAGCCCUACAAGUGCUUGGAGUGUGGGAAGAGCU